UGGUGGUGGCCUGGUGGUCGUAUGUAUGACGUCAUUUACUUCAACGUUUGGAGUGACAUCAUAUGUACGGCUGCUAAACUGCUACAUGGGA
rnacentral:pre_miRNA from 8 species